rnacentral:rRNA from 1 species
UACCAGCUCUCCGAGUGGUAGGGAUGAUUAUUGGGCUUAAAGCGUCCGUAGCUGGCUUAGCAAGUCUUCUGUUAAAUUCAGCGACCCAAUCAUUGAGCCGCGGGAGAUACUACUGGGCUAGGAGGCGGGAGAGGUCGACGGUACUUUCGGGGUAGGGGUGAAAUCCUAUAGUCCCGGGAGGACCACCAGUGGCGAAGGCUGUCGACUAGAACGCGCUCGACAGUGAGGGACGAAAGCUGGGGGAGCGAACCGGAUUAGAUACCCGGGUAGUCCCAGCUGUAAACUAUGCGGGCUAGGUGUUGGGGUGGCUACGGGCCACUUCAGCGCCGCAGGAAAGCCAUUAAGCCCGCCGCCUGGGGAGUACGGCCGCAAGGCUGAAACUUAAAGGAAUUGGCGGGGAGCACCACAAGGCGUGAAGCCUGCGGUUC